AUUGAACGCUGGCGGCAUGCCUUACACGUGCAAGUCGAACGGCAGCACGGGUGCUUGCACCUGGUGGCGAGUGGCGAACGGGUGAGUAAUACAUCGGAACAUGUCCUGUAGUGGGGGAUAGCCCGGCGAAAGCCGGAUUAAUACCGCAUACGAUCUACGGAUGAAAGCGGGGGCCCUUCGGGCCUCGCGCUAUAGGGUUGGCCGAUGGCUGAUUAGCUAGUUGGUGGGGUAAAGGCCUACCAAGGCGACGAUCAGUAGCUGGUCUGAGAGGACGACCAGCCACACUGGGACUGAGACACGGCCCAGACUCCUACGGGAGGCAGCAGUGGGGAAUUUUGGACAAUGGGCGAAAGCCUGAUCCAGCAAUGCCGCGUGUGUGAAGAAGGCCUUCGGGUUGUAAAGCACUUUUGUCCGGAAAGAAAUCCUUGGCCCUAAUACGGUCGGGGGAUGACGGUACCGGAAGAAUAAGCACCGGCUAACUACGUG
rnacentral:rRNA from 1 species